rnacentral:misc_RNA from 1 species
UUAACUUAUUUGUAUAUAUUACUCAGACAAUACAAAAAUCAAGAGUUUAGGGUCCUCUGGCAGGCACGGACCAGCCUAAGCCAGUGGUCAUAAGACGGGCCUGCCAAAGCAACAAAGGUAAUAUAAACAAAGGGUGGGAGAUCUACCCCAAAGGGCAAUUUCUCUGUAAUGAUCCUUCCGCAGGUUCACCUACGGAAA